UACGUAGGGUGCAAGCGUUAAUCGGAAUUACUGGGCGUAAAGCGUGCGCAGGCGGUUGUGCAAGACAGAUGUGAAAGCCCCGGGCUCAACCUGGGAAUGGCAUUGGAGGACUGGCGGCUCGAGUGUGGCAGGAGGGGGUGGAAUUCCCGGUGUAGCAGUGAAAUGCGUAGAGAUCGGGAGGAACAUCUGUGGCGAAGGCGGCCAUCUGGACCAGCACUGACACUGAGGCACGAAGCGUGGGAGCAAACAGGAU
rnacentral:rRNA from 1 species